GAUGAACGCUGGCGGCGUGCCUAAUACAUGCCAGUCGAGCGAACGGACGAGAAGCUUGCUUCUCUGAUGUUAGCGGCGGACGGGUGAGUAACACGUGGAUAACCUACCUAUAAGACUGGGAUAACUUCGGGAAACCGGAGCUAAUACCGGAUAAUAUUUUGAACCGCAUGGUUCAAAAGUGAAAGACGGUCUUACUGUCACUUAUAGAUGGAUCCGCGCUGCAUUAGCUAGUUGGUAAGGUAACGGCUUACCAAGGCAACGAUGCAUAGCCGACCUGAGAGGGUGAUCGGCCACACUGGAACUGAGACACGGUCCAGACUCCUACGGGAGGCAGCAGUAGGGAAUCUUCCGCAAUGGGCGAAAGCCUGACGGAGCAACGCCGCGUGAGUGAUGAAGGUCUUCGGAUCGUAAAACUCUGUUAUUAGGGAAGAACAUAUGUGUAAGUAACUGUGCACAUCUUGACGGUACCUAAUCAGAAAGCCACGGCUAACUACGUG
rnacentral:rRNA from 1 species